GAUGAACGCUGGCGGCGUGCUUAACACAUGCAAGUCGAACGGGAAACAUUUUAUUGAAGCUUCGGCAGAUUUAGCUUGUUUCUAGUGGCGGACGGGUGAGUAACGCGUGGGUAACCUGCCUCACACUGGGGGAGUAACAGUCAGAAAUAGGCUGCUAAUACCGCAUAAGCGCACGGGACCGGCAUGGUUUGUGUGAAAACUACCGGUGGUGUGAGAUGGACCCGCGUUGGAUUAGCCAGUUGGCAGGGUAACGGCCUACCAAAGACGACGAUCCAUAGCCGGCCUGAGAGGGUGAACGGCCACAUUGGGACUGAGACACGGCCCAG
rnacentral:rRNA from 1 species